AGUGAGCGCUGGCGGUAGGCCUAACACAUGCAAGUCGAACGGCAGCACAGUAAGAGCUUGCUCUUACGGGUGGCGAGUGGCGGACGGGUGAGGAAUACAUCGGAAUCUACUUUUUCGUGGGGGAUAACGUAGGGAAACUUACGCUAAUACCGCAUACGACCUACGGGUGAAAGCAGGGGAUCUUCGGACCUUGCGCGAUUGAAUGAGCCGAUGUCGGAUUAGCUAGUUGGCGGGGUAAAGGCCCACCAAGGCGACGAUCCGUAGCUGGUCUGAGAGGAUGAUCAGCCACCCUGGAACUGAGACACGGUCCAGACUCCUACGGGAGGCAGCAGUGGGGAAUAUUGGACAAUGGGCGCAAGCCUGAUCCAGCCAUACCGCGUGGGUGAAGAAGGCCUUCGGGUUGUAAAGCCCUUUUGUUGGGAAAGAAAAGCAGCAGGUUAAUACCCCGCUGUUCUGACGGUACCCAAAGGAUAAGCACCGGCUAACUUCGUG
rnacentral:rRNA from 1 species